GUAAUUGGAUUAAAGAAUAAAUUUUACACUCACAAUUAAGAUUAGAAUUUGCUUGGAAUUUGAUUUAGAACUUGAUUAAAGGUUGAUUAAGAUUUGUUUAGAAUUUAUCUAGAAUUUAGGAUUUUAUUAGAAUUUCAUUAAGAUUUGAUCUAAGAUUUGGUUAAGAUUUAAUUAGGGUUUCAAUUAAGAUUUGAUUUAGGAAUUGAUUUAGAUUUAAUUAUGAUUUUUAAUUUUAAUAUUUUUAAGGAUUUUUGAUUGCUUCUUUAAAAAAAUUUAUUUCUAAUAUUUCUUUAAUAUU
rnacentral:lncRNA from 1 species